UGUGAGUGUGUAAGAGCGCAUGGUGGAUGCCUUGGCAUCAGGAGCCGAUGAAGGACGUGGAAAUCUGCGAUAAGCCUCGGGGAGCCGAUAAACGGGCUGUGAUCCGAGGAUGUCCGAAUGGGGGAACCCCGCCGCAUGCGAGUGCGGUGACCCGCACCUGAAUAUAUAGGGUGUGUGGAGGGAACGCGGGGAAGUGAAACAUCUCAGUACCCGUAGGAAGAGAAAAUAAGAAUGAUUCCGGGAGUAGUGGCGAGCGAAACUGGAUGAGCCUAAACCGUGUGCGUGUCAAGCGUGCUGGUGUUGCGUACAUGGUGUUGUGGGGUGUG
rnacentral:rRNA from 1 species